CCUACGGGUGGCAGCAGUGAGGAAUAUUGGUCAAUGGGCGAGAGCCUGAACCAGCCAAGUCGCGUGAGGGAGGACUGCCCUAUGGGUUGUAAACCUCUUUUGUCGGGGAGCAAAAGCCGGACGUGUCCGGCUGUGAGAGUACCCGAAGAAAAAGCAUCGGCUAACUCCGUGCCAGCAGCCGCGGUAAUACGGAGGAUGCGAGCGUUAUCCGGAUUUAUUGGGUUUAAAGGGUGCGCAGGCGGAUUUUUAAGUCAGCGGUAAAAUCGUGGGGCUCAACCCCAUCCAGCCGUGGAAACUGGGGAUCUAGAGUGUGCGAGAGGUAUGCGGAAUGCGUGGUGUAGCGGUGAAAUGCAUAGAUAUCACGCAGAACCCCGAUUGCGAAGGCAGCAUACCGGUGCACAACUGACGCUCAGGCACGAAAGCGUGGGUAUCGAACAGGAUUAGAUACCCGUGUAGUC
rnacentral:rRNA from 1 species